ACGGGUGAGUAACACGUAUGGAACCUGCCCGCCACAGGGGGAUAACCCGGGGAAACCCGGCCUAAUACCCCAUGCCGCCCGGACCGGGCAUCCGGACCGGGCGAAAGGAGGAAUCCGGUGGCGGCUGGGCAUGCGGCGCAUUAGCUUGACGGCGGGGUAACGGCCCACCGUGGCGACGAUGCGUAGGGGUUCUGAGAGGAAGGCCCCCCACACUGGAACUGAGACACGGUCCAGACUCCUACGGGAGGCAGCAGUGAGGAAUAUUGGUCAAUGGGCGGAAGCCUGAACCAGCCAAGUCGCGUGAGGGAAUAAGGCCCUACGGGUCGUAAACCUCUUUUGCCGGGGAGCAAGGGCCGGGACGAGUCCCGGUCCGGAGAGUACCCGGAGAAAAAGCAUCGGCUAACUCCGUGCCAGCAGCCGCGGUAAUACGGAGGAUGCGAGCGUUAUCCGGAUUUAUUGGGUUUAAAGGGUGCGUAGGCGGGCUUUUAAGUCAGCGGUAAAAAUUCGGGGCUCAACCCCGUCCGGCCGUUGAAACUGGGGGCCUUGAGUGGGCGAGAAGAAGGCGGAAUGCGUGGUGUAGCGGUGAAAUGCAUAGAUAUCACGCAGAACCCCGAUUGCGAAGGCAGCCUUCCGGCGCCCUACUGAUGCUGAGGCACGAAAGUGCGGGGAUCGAACAGGAUUAGAUACCCUGGUAGUCCGCACAGUAAACGAUGGAUGCCAGCUGUCCGGGCCGAAUGGGGCCUGGGUGGCAAAGCGAAAGCGUUAAGCAUCCCACCUGGGGAGUAC
rnacentral:rRNA from 1 species